GCUGGGCAAGAGUGAGCCACUAGGGGGCAGCAGGGACCAGUGAGCUGGUCUCCAGCCAGUCUGAUCUCCACUGGCCAGGCGUCCUCAACUCAUUAAUAAAGCUGGAAAAGGGUGGGAUUUUGAGGAAGAACUGGCACUGUCCUGCUGCUGUCAGGAAGCUCAGGCCAGUUCGUCACAAGAGCAGCUGGGCAUCGCCUGGCCUUCACCCAUCAAGACAUCUGCUCCUCACUCCACCACUGUGGGCUGCAGGGUUUUCCCUGAAUCGGAGAAGGCUGGCACGUGCCGAUUUAGUAAUCAGAAAAAAGCGUUGUUUUUACAGAUGCUAAAACCACCACUAAAUGGAAGAAAGUUAACUGCUUGAUACUGAUGACCCCAGACCUACUGGCGCCUAACAAUUGAUACCUCACCAUCAACCAAUCAGAAAACCGUGCACGAGCUGAUCACACACCCUGUGAC